UAUAUGUUUAAAGGACGCAGUAUUUCCGGAACAUUUUCAAAAGUUCAGUUGAAAAAGAUCUAUGUUUUUUACAAUAUUUUAAGUUUUGAACGCCCCCUAUAUAAGGGGAAAUUGUCCAAUUUUAAUAAAAAGACGCAGUCUUUCCGGAACAUUUUCAAAAAUUAAGUUGAAAAAAUUAAUUUUUGUAAAAAAGUUGCCAUUUUAAAUCCCCCCCAAUGAGCAGGUUAAGUGAUAGAUUUUCAAAAAAAUGAUAUCAAAUGAAAGGUAAAUAUCUAAGGUUUUAGUAUAAAAAAAAAUUAUGUUGAUUUGUUGAUUUUUCAAAAAGUUAUGGAAGUUUUAAGAAAAAAAAGUGAAAAAAUUUCGAAAAUUAGCGAUUUUUAAAUUUGUAAUUUUUUUGGAUAUUUCCCCCAUUUGCGGGGAACGAGGGAAUUUUUUUCAAUUUUUAAGGGUAAUGUCUUCAACUAGAUACGAUUUGUGAUCUUUUGACGUAUUUUUGAAAGAAAUCGGUCCAGUGAGAGCUGAGAAAAAGUGGCAACAGACAUAAAAAAAAAAAAAAAAACACAUCAUAGUAAAAUUAAUACCUUCUCCGCUUCGCAUCGAAGCUAAUAUGAAA